CUCAGAGAAAGCUUAUUUGCAUCUGUUAUUUACUUCAUUUUAUUUCCUCUACAGAUGUAACCUUUCCCCUCAGUAGACAGCUUUGCAGGCUGUUCUUGUGUUUGCAGUCCCUGUGUAUAGCCUUCUCAAAAUACAAACGGCAUAUUUUGAGGCGAGUGCUGACCUCACCUUGCAAAGCUCUCUGAAGUGUCUGAGCAGAGGGUCCACUCCUCCCCGGCAUACCUUUGCAGCAAUAUCCUGGCAGAUACUUUAUGUCAUGUUGCCAUGAACUGCAUUGUUCUGCCCCAAGCCCCAGGCUACUGGAAAAAAUGGUUGAAGACCUGAAAACUGUGACCCCUGUUGCCUAGCAACUGAGAAGCUCAGCCUCAACUCCGGGUGGGGGAGAUGAUGGAGAAAGGACAAUUGCUCUGAGCUUUCAGUCACCAUGUGAGAAGUCUGGCUACCCUGAGGCCAGCACAUGCAGAGACCACAUGGAGAGAUGAGAGGCAGAGAGAGCCGCCCAAGGAACUCCAGCUGUUCCAGCACCCAGCUGUUUGAAUCCUCCCAGCCCAGGCACUAAACGUGAAUGAAAAGCUCUCAAGACAACCUCAGCCCUCGGACCCAGCCACAGACUGAUUGCCACUGUAUGAGAGACCUCAGAUGAAAACUGUCAAGUGGAGCCCGGCUAGCUAACAGAUUUAUAAGCAAAAUAAGUGAUUGUUAUUGUUUCAAGCCACCAUUUUGAAGUGGCUUUUCUGCAGCAAUAGAUGCCUGGAGGAGUCCUAAUAAUAAAAAUUAAUCAGAUGGAGGAUCUGCUUUUUUAUUUUCUCUUAGGACUAAGGAAAGGCUUGGUAUAAUCUUUGAACUGAGAUAAAGAAUAAGUUACUCUUAAAAUUUUCCAACAAAUGGAGUCCUUAUUGUCUGUAGUUAGUACCCAAAGCUUAGACACUUUCUCUCUACAUACCCUUCCAAGGAUAAGGCUGUAUUUUGUAAUGCCAGAUGACACAAUCUGAUAAACAAGCAGACACCCAUUAAAAUGAAUGAAUGUCAAAAUUUUUUCAUGCUUAUUUGUUAUUAACGACUGAGAAUGUGAAGGUGCAAUUCAAAUAGUUUAUUAUUGUUAUAGGUUUGUGGCAAUAUAUUACAGUUUACGCCUUGGCUUAGAAGUUGAUUACAAGUUUUAUGAGACUGAGUGCCUGUUAUUGGCAAUCUUGAUGUUUUCUUUUUCCCUGUAACAUGUCACAGACAAUUGAUUUAUAUGUAGUCAAUGAUUUUUUAUACUAUAUCAUUUCAAUAAAAAAAUUAAAGAAGAAAGUGUGUAGUAGGGAGUGGAAAGAAGACAAUGAAGGCUGCAUCAGUCAUGGUGGGAUUUGAAAAUGUAUUAAUAAUCUGC
rnacentral:lncRNA from 1 species